rnacentral:rRNA from 1 species
CGUAGGUCCCGAGCGUUGUCCGGAUUUUAUUGGGGCGUAAAAGCGAGCGCAGGCGGUUAGAUAAGUCUGAAGUUAAAAGGCUGUGGCUUAACCAUAGUACGCUUUGGAAACUGUUUAACUUGAGUGCAAGAGGGGGAGAGUGGAAUUCCAUGUGUAGCGGUGAAAUGCGUAGAUAUAUGGAGGAACACCGGUGGCGAAAGCGGCUCUCUGGCUUGUAACUGACGCUGAGGCUCGAAAAGCGUGGGGAGCAAACAGGAUU